CCUACGGGUGGCAGCAGUGGGGGAUAUUGCACAAUGGGGGGAACCCUGAUGCAGCGACGCCGCGUGGGUGAAGGAGUAUUUCGGUAUGUAAAGCCCUAUCGGCAGGGAAGAAAUUGGACGGUACCUGACUAAGAAGCCCCGGCUAACUACGUGCCAGCAGCCGCGGUAAUACGUAGGGGGCAAGCGUUAUCCGGAUUCACUGGGUGUAAAGGGAGCGUAGACGGCCAUGCAAGCCAGGGGUGAAAGCCCGGGGCCCAACCCCGGGACUGCCCUUGGAACUGCAUGGCUGGAGUGCGGGAGGGGCAGGCGGAAUGCCUGGUGUAGCGGUGAAAUGCGUAGAGAUCAGGAGGAACACCGGCGGCGAAGGCGGCCUGCUGGACCGCGACUGACGUUGAGGCUCGAAAGCGUGGGGAGCGAACAGGAUUAGAUACCCGAGUAGUC
rnacentral:rRNA from 1 species